CCAGCCGCCGCCAUGACAAGCAGCAUGUGAAGACGCCGCCAAUACAGUGAGAAAGGAGGUAUCUGGGACAGAGAGAAGACCCAUCUGAUGCUGCCCUGCACAAGAAAUGUGGAGGGACAGGCAAAACACAGCAUCCCUCCCAUACAGCUGUGAAGUGACAAGACACAGAGCAGUACUGGAGGUCACUCAGCAAUGAAUCUUCAGGAAACAGAAAAGCACACACAGUAGACCAUGGAGAGGGUCUCAAUCCAACAAGAAGAAACCCUGGAACUCUAUGUCUAUGCUCAACCCCAAUCCACUGAUGUCCAGACCCAAUGUCUGCAUCUCCCAAAAGGAAAAACCAAGCCCCUAUAUUUUCACGCACAGGAUGGUCCCAGUGUAUCAACUUAAAACCACCUGGGACCCAUGCCAUGGUUUGAAUUUGAAAUAUCCUUAAGAGACUUGUGUGUUUCAAAAAUUGGUCUGUUGUGGAAUAUUAUUUUAAGAUGUUUUACAUUUGCUUAUGCUCUGGAACAAUUUGUUUAAUGAUGAAAA